UUCCUCAUUACUGAGGGUCGUGACUCUCC
rnacentral:piRNA from 1 species